rnacentral:rRNA from 1 species
GAUGAACGCUGACAGAAUGCUUAACACAUGCAAGUCUUUGGCGAAGCUGUGCUUGCACAGCCUAGCCAAGGCGGACGGGUGAGUAACGCGUAAGGAACUUGCCCUGCAGUCAGGGAUAACAGACGGAAACGACUGAUAAGACCUGGUAAAGUCAGGCGGACCCAUGUCCAGCCUGAUGAAAAGAGAUGCUGCAGGAGAGCCUUGCGUCCUAUUAGCUUGUUGGUGGGGUAACGGCCCACCAAGGCGAUGAUAGGUAGCCGGCCUGAGAGGGUGGACGGCCACAAGGGGACUGAGAUACGGCCCUUACUCCUACGGGAGGCAGCAGUGGGGAAUAUUGGACAAUGGGGGCAACCCUGAUCCAGCAAUUCUGUGUGCACGAUGAAGGUUUUCGGAUUGUAAAGUGCUCUCAGCAGGGAAGAAAAAAAUGACGGUACCUGCAGAAGAAGCGACGGCUAAAUACGUG